rnacentral:rRNA from 1 species
AUGGGCUCGGGAAAGGGGUCCCCCGAAUAUUGGGUAUCCGUUGUUAAACCUGGUCGUAUACUUUAUCAAAUGGGGGGAGUAUCUGAAACUGUAGCUAGAGCAGCUAUCUCCAUAGCUGUCAAUAAAAUGCCCAUACGAAGUCAAUUUAUUCGAUUAGAGAUAUAG